GCCCAACCAUGGAGACCGGUCCCACCUGUCACCAGGCUUUAGGAGUGGCGUCACGCCCGACCGCUUCCCUUGAGAAGGGCGAUCGCCCUGGCAUAACGCCGGGGGCUACUGUCGGUGAUAUGGGACCGGGAGUAUCAUGACCAGAG
rnacentral:misc_RNA from 1 species